rnacentral:misc_RNA from 1 species
UUUCCGUAGGUGAACCUGCGGAAGGAUCAUUAUCGUACAACAUGUCUGCGGCCUGCGAUGGCUGUCGCUGCCCCAACGGCCGCGCACGCCCGCGUCCGUCCUUUUGCAUUCUCAUCCAUCUCACCUUUUGUGCAUCACCGCGUGGGUCCCUUUCUGGACCAUCCCGUAGCGCCUCUCCCCUUUUUACUUAAACCCUCCCUUUAUAAGUGUAAAAAUACCACAUAUCUUUCAUCAAUACAACUCUUAACACCGGCUCCCUUGGCUCUCGCAUCGAUGCAG